rnacentral:misc_RNA from 1 species
GAGGACAGUGGGUAGGUGGAGAGGUACAGAGGCGAAACAGAAGAUUUUUUGGGCGUGGAAAUGGACUGCCGGGUAUGCGUUGCGGGUGGGGAUUUAUGGGUCAAGGUAGGCGGCCGCGUUGGAGGUGGAAUUGGCGGUGUGGGUCAGAUGGGAGGUUUUAGCCAUGAGAGCGAGCAUGAUUUGGCUCUUAUGGUUAGCGAUUUUUUGGAAAAUGGG